UGGUGGAGCGAUUUGUCUGGUUAAUUCCGAUAACGAACGAGACUCUGGCCUAUUAAAUAGUUCGCCGAUUCCGAUCUGUCGGCGUUAACUUCUUAGAGGGACAAGUGGCUUUUAGCCACGCGGGAUUGAGCAAUAACA
rnacentral:rRNA from 1 species